rnacentral:lncRNA from 1 species
AAAAAAAUGCAGGAAUGUUCUAAAAAAAUGCAGGAAUAGGAUGGCAUGUCCCAUAGUAUUCUACAGGAUUUGAAAGAAUGUUUAAUAGCACAGGAAAAACAAAGGAAUUCUAUAAAGAAAUUUGAGUGGAUGGAAAUUUUCCUCCAAAAUGUAGUACAAAUGGAUCCUAUGAAAAAAUUCCUAAGGAUGCCAAUCCUACGAAUCAAACAAGCAUCACAAGAAAAAUUUCUAAGGGUUCAAAUCCUUCAAAAAUCCUAUGCAAUUCCUUUGAAUCAAAGAAAGCCUAAAGCUUCCCGCUUGAAUGAAUUGCACGCCAGACACCUCAAAAAAAAAAGAAUGGAAUUGCAUGCCCCGCCGUUUGGACGCUAUGAGGUGUGGGCACUCGUACCAUUCAAAAAAGAGCAAUGUUUACGAGCUGGUCUGAUUUGGCAAUGUUUGAUUGGAUUAGUUGGAAAUGUUAAGAUUAAUUACAAAUGUAAUUAGGGAAAAUCUCCCCUUGCCCAACCGCCGUGCGGUUGCCUCCCGCACAGGCGCAUUUGGUCUGAAACCGACGUCUUGUCCGAACCGUUGUAUCCCUCCAGACCAUAUAAAUGGCAUUCUGUAACCAUCGAUGAGAUCAAUCAAUCACUUUGAUUCGAAACACGUUAUCAGCACGUAGAACAGCCAGCGAGAGCGAGAACAACAGAGAAAGAAAGAAGGGAAGGAGCACCUUGCCGCCGUCUCCUUCUUCCUCCGCCUGAUCCGCGAGGACGGCCGUCGGAGCCGCCUCAUUGCCCGUCGCCGUCAUGGAGUUGGUGGCCUCCGUCGUCACCGUCAUCGGAUGCAAGCCAUCCGCCGGUUCGGCCGCAGCGCCGCUGGACGUGGUGCCCCUGGCGGCCUCUGCGCCGCUGGACGCGGACAUCGCGCCGCCGGACACACUGAACACGGUGCUCACCACGUCCCGCUCGUGACCAGGGGUUGACCCGUGGCUCGCAGCCGGCCCAAGCGCCGCCGCCGCGCCCGCACCACCCCCUGGGUCCCCGCCUCCACCCUCUCCUCCACCGGCCGAGUGGCUUGUGCCGCCCGAUGCCCGCGGCCGAGGCCGUUGGCCCGCACGGCUACGUCCCCGUGCCUAUGCGCACUGUCGUGGACGCGGAGGAGGCACUCGCCUUCAUCUCGGCGCCAACCGGCGCCUCCGGUGUCGUCCGUCACGGUGCCGGGAUGGAGGGCAUCGCCGCAACCACUCCGCCGCAGUCGGAGAUGGACGCGGGAUCCAGCAUCUGCGCGGAGAGGCGCUUCGGCCGCCUCUUCGAGCGCGUCAUCGCCGCCAUCAGCCGCCGCGACGGCUUGUGGGAUCCGUCAGGCCUCGGCCUCGCUCCCGCCCUGCCGCGUGGAGUGCGCACCGACCCCGUCGUGGUCGCCUCUUCCUCCAACGAGGAGGCUCCCUCCGUCGUACGCCGGUGAUCACCGGAGAUGUGUGGGAGCCCGCGGCCCUCACUCUGCUCGCCGGCGGCUGGACUCCUAGUCCUCGUGACCACGGGUGGUGGGGUGGACCGAUGGUGUGCGGG